GGGCUUGUACUGGUUUCGACGGGGACUUUGAACGUAGAGCAGCCAUCCGUGGACUCCGGGACCACGAAAAAACCUGGAACUAAACAUAAACGCUGAAGAUAAUUUAGCAUUCGCUGCCUAGUUGCGGCUGUCGGCCUCAGAUCAUUCGCAGUCUGAGAAUCCGGCAUCAAAAAAUGCGGAACACUCACGGGCCUAAGCUUUGCAGUUCGUGAAGUAAUAUGAAGCUACUAAAGUGUACAGUUUGUCUUUAGACGGUACAUGGAGGGAAUGUCAAAAUAGAGACUGUGAUGGGAGAUACUGUACCGGAAGAGUUUUCGGACGCGGGUUCGAUUCCCGCCAGGUCCACU
rnacentral:tmRNA from 1 species